rnacentral:rRNA from 1 species
UCUACGGGUGGCAGCAGUGGGGAAUAUUGGACAAUGGGCGAAAGCCUGAUCCAGCCAUGCCGCGUGUGUGAAGAAGGCCUUCGGGUUGUAAAGCACUUUCAGUGGGGAAGAAAGCCUUGGGGCUAAUACCCUCGAGGAAGGACAUCACCCACAGAAGAAGCACCGGCUAACUCCGUGCCAGCAGCCGCGGUAAUACGGAGGGUGCGAGCGUUAAUCGGAAUUACUGGGCGUAAAGCGCGCGUAGGCGGUCUGAUAAGCCGGUUGUGAAAGCCCCGGGCUCAACCUGGGAACGGCAUCCGGAACUGUCAGGCUAGAGUGCAGGAGAGGAAGGUAGAAGUCCCGGUGUAGCGGUGAAAUGCGUAGAGAUCGGGAGGAAUACCAGUGGCGAAGGCGGCCUUCUGGACUGACACUGACGCUGAGGUGCGAAAGCGUGGGUAGCAAACAGGAUUAGAUACCCCUGUAGUC